rnacentral:rRNA from 1 species
AACGAACGCUGGCGGCAGGCUUAACACAUGCAAGUCGAACGCCCCGCAAGGGGAGUGGCAGACGGGUGAGUAACGCGUGGGAAUCUACCCAGAUCUUCGGAACAACACAGGGAAACUUGUGCUAAUACCGGACACGCCCUACGGGGGAAAGAUUUAUCGGUUCUGGAUGAGCCCGCGUUGGAUUAGCUAGUUGGUGGGGUAAUGGCCUACCAAGGCGACGAUCCAUAGCUGGUCUGAGAGGAUGAUCAGCCACACUGGGACUGAGACACGGCCCAGACUCCUACGGGAGGCAGCAGUGGGGAAUAUUGGACAAUGGGCGAAAGCCUGAUCCAGCCAUGCCGCGUGAGUGAUGAAGGCCUUAGGGUUGUAAAGCUCUUUCAGUAGGGAAGAUAAUGACGGUACCUACAGAAGAAGCCCCGGCUAACUUCGUGCCAGCCGCCGCCGUAAUAC